CUCCGUAAACCCGCAUUCGUUAGCGAACCGUUGAGUGAAGCGGAAGCCCUAGCACUAGCCCUGCCUGUGUUGGAGUUUCGAUUGAGUGGGUCAACCCGUCGGGUGUGUUGCAUUUAUGUUUUUGCCAGCUGGUUUUUUAAACAGCGAGACCGGAAUCGAGACAGCCACGUGAAGGCUUCGCAAGCUAAGCUAAUUACGUGCGGGUACGGUGUGUGGUGUUUAAUGUUUGUGUACAAACAACUUCUUCCAUUGCGUUCUUGAUGAAUAUAUAGUGAUUCAGCAGUUGGUAGUAAUUGACAAUUAUAUUGAACCAGUAGUGUGUUUAACUUUCCAUCACAAAUAGUACGCUGAUACAGUUCGUGUUCGUGUCCCAAAAAUCACUCCAAUCGCCCGAAGGUCCCGCACCCGGAAUUGCGAUAAGCUGUACAAGGGGGCUGACCCGGUUCGUGUUUGGAAAAUAGCGAAACAUCAUGUUUAGGGGACAUUGGCAUCUAUCACACGUGGAUGUAUAAUCGCUUUAGUAGACUGUCCCGUUCUGUUUGUUUGCACUUCGGAACUAAUCGUGUGAUCUCACAAGUGCGUUACUACGAAUACUAGCAAAUAUGGUUUACUAUUAGCCUUUUUUCGAGUGUGAUUGAUCCGACGCGAUCUGUCAGCUAACGGUGACGAAACGCGCGCAUUUGUUUGUUCUUAUCAGUAGACCGCCACGGCGAGAGCCUGUUGCUCCCCACAAUUGUGCCGUGACCCCUGGGUAUAUAGUGGAUUAAAACCCCACUCAUGGUGCGAGCUCUAGCAGCGUAUGUGUGUGUGUGGGACUCUUAUAAUCCGAUGUCAGUUAUUCCGAUGCGCUGAUACGGGCGGAGUCCGUCGCAAUCGACUUUGGUAGUGGUAUGGUGUGCGCAUACCGGGCAUUUUCAGUAUGAUGAUGAUUACGGCUUUUGCCGGUUGUGCGGUGCUGUAAUUAGUGUGCCAUCAGUGUGUGAUAGCUGAAGCGCCACGAACGUACCGAGGAUCGUUCGUCACUCGCGCAAAGUAACGCAACGUGUCGCACGCGAAGUUCUCCAACCGUGUAACGUCCGCUAUGCGUUAAAGACGUUUAGCCAAUAGAAUAGUACACCUUUACUUUGCGCAAACUACAACUAGACGCUGGUACACGUGAGGGGGAACGGUGAAAGGUCGAUCAUUUCUCACCAGUGUGUGAGUUGUUUUUAUCGACUUGUUUACACGUGAUAUUCUAGUGCAUUCAAACGCGAUCGUCGUUGAUCGUGCUACCCCUCAUCGUCGACAAAAUGAUCGGGAUUAAAUAUCUGAACGAUGCCCACCUUAAGGGGUUCGAAAAGUACAAGUACAACUGCGUCGAUACAAGUAUUCUUAGUGUUUAUGUUAUGCACCCGUUCUGGAAUAAGGUCGUCCUAUAUUGUCCACGGUGGAUUGCACCGAACCUACUUACCUUUUCCGGUUUUCUGCUGACGGUGGUGAAUUUUUUUCUGAUAGCAUAUUACGACUACGAUUUUCGAGCAGCCACCAAAACUCCCAUACCCAUACCGGAUUGGGUAUGGAUCUUAGCAGCGAUCAAUCUAUUUGUAGCCUAUACUUUAGACGGUAUCGAUGGCAAACAGGCACGAAGAACUGGAACCAGUGGACCACUGGGUGAAUUGUUCGAUCACGGGCUCGAUUCUUACUCGGCAGUUCUGAUACCAAUCUACAUGUUCACCAUAUUCGGUGCUGCCGAUCUACCACCGGUGCGAAUGUACUUCAUUACACUGAACGUGUUCCUUAACUUCUAUCUGCCACAUGUGGAGAAGUACCUGACCGGGGUAAUGUUCCUGCCCUGGGGUUAUGAUUUUGUCAUGUGGGGCGUAUCGAUAACUUUAGCGAUCACAGGAAUACUGGGAGCUGAGUUUUGGCAAAUUCCCAUCUUUGGUGUGAAACCUUGUCACAUAUUCGAGAUGACACUUUACGUGUCUGCCGUCAUUACUAGUCAUCCCAUUAUUAUACACAAUGUUUACAAAUCUUAUCGCGACAAAACGGGUAAAAUGCGAUCAUUCAGCGAAGCAAUCCGACCAUUAGUACCGCUUAGCAGUCUAUUUAUUAUGUGUACCGUGUGGGUACUGUGCUCACGAAAUGGAAUAAUCGAUAUGGAACCAAGACUGUACUUUGUAAUGUGUGGUACACUUUUCUCCAACAUUUGUUGCCGUCUUAUUGUAGCUCAAAUGUCUGAUACUCGGGCGGAUCUUUGGAACGGGCUGCUCAACUUGCUGUGUGUGGUUGCCUUCUUCUGUAUCCUGCCCUAUCCACUCCUUGGUAUGCCCGAGCUAAGCAUCCAGGUCGAACGAUACCUGCUGUACGGGUUGACAUUCUGCGUCACGAUCGCGCACAUACACUACGGUGCAGGAGUAGUACGCGAAAUGUGUCAUCAUUUCCGGAUUCGUUGUUUCAAAGUAAGAUCGGAUGCUAGUAAGCUUACUGCGAGUACUAAUAACCUAGAUGUUAACCGUAACGGUAGCUAUCCUAACAAACAUCAUCUUAACCACCGCCAGAUUAAAUCCAAGUAAUGUGGUCAGUAGAAUGUAGCGAACCAGUCACAGAUAAGGCAAAUUUGCUUAAAACUCUAACCAGAAAAUGCCUACCCGAAUUUCUACUACCUUGUUUUGCUUCGAGCAGAUCGUCCCACUGGAAAAGCGAAAAGCGAAACUAGCUCUGGUUUAGAGUACGGUGUUUUUGGGGGGAAAACAAAUGUGCCGAAUGUGUUGCGUCUACCAUCACGUGUGAAGUGUCCGAGUGUACGCGAAAGAUGUGGUGUAAAUAUGUUCGCUAUCAUUCGCUAAGUAAUUCUGCAUACGGUAGUGAUACGAUCACCGAUACCAACCACUCCGUUACCGCAGACAACCCCGCCAGCGGACGAUAUGGAGGACAUCGAGCUGUGAAUAGCUACGGGAUUCAAUUAAACACGGGUGCAUUUCACGGGCGGUGCUUUAAUAACCUAGAACUACGUAUGUUAAAUCACUAUUGUUUAAGCUUCGGGUCGGAACGGAAACUACUUGUGUACAUACAUAUUUACCAACCAAAAAUGCCAGAAUGAAUGUGUACAUAGUGUUGUAAUCAGUUUAAGAAGUGUUUCCUGUUGCAAAUAUAGGAAAAUUACAGUGAAAAGAAAUAAUAAGAAAAAUUCA